UUUAUGUCACCAAUAUUAAAAACAUUUCAUAAUUCCCACAUUUCCUAAAAUACAUCUAAAACAUGCUAUUUAAUUGAUUCCCCUGCACCACUAAAUUCGGACUCCCCCCUGACCAAUUUGUGCUCUGGUCCCACCCCGGAACCUUUAUCUGGGUGUCCGUUCCUCGGGGAAUCUUUUAACUGGAACACCCUGGAGCGGACACAGAACAGCAACCACAGGUGGAGCAGCGCCCUCACGCCGGCAACCCCCGGACAACCACACCUCAACCACGCACUAUGUGGAUGUCAUCGCUCAGCUGAAAGUGAAACACGAUACAAAGAAACAACAAAACACAUCACCAGACUCCGGCCAAACAACUGUCUUGAUUUUUAACAUCUUACCUCCAAUGUUUUCUCAAAACACACUCCUGAAAGCAUUUCCUCAGCUCCUCAGUUCCUGCUCGUCUGAGUCCUAUGUUUAUCCUUUGUUUGUUGUUCAGUAUGAUGUUUGUUUGGUUUGCUAUGUUGUGCCUUAAUUAGGGUUUUGCUGUUUUAUUGAUUUUCUAUUUAUGCAAAGCUCUUUGUGCUACAUUUUGCUGUACAUAAAGUGCUUUACAAACUAA